rnacentral:siRNA from 1 species
UAUGUUAUCGGGUCUAGCACUCUA